AUGUUCAAGCUGGUUUUAGAAAAGGCAGAGGAACCAGAGAUCAAAUUGCCAACAUCCGCUGGAUCAUUGAAAAAGCAAGAGAGUUCCGGAAAAACAUCUAUUUCUGCUUUAUUGACUAAAGCCUUUGACUGUGUGGAUCACAAUAAACUGUGGAAAAUUCUGAAAGAGAUGGGAAUACCAGACCAACUGACCUGCCUCUUGAGAAACCUAUAUGCAGGUCAGGAAGCAACAGUUAGAACUGGACAUGGAACAACAGACUGGUUCCAAAUAGGAAAAGGAGUAUGUCAAGGCUGUAUAUUGUCACCCUGCUUAUUUAACUUCUACACAGAGUACAUCAUGAGAAAUGCUGGGCUGGAAGAAGCACAAGCUGGAAUCAAGAUUGCUGGGAGAAAUAUCAAUAACCUCAGAUAUGCAGAUGACACCACCCUUAUGGCAGAAAGUGAAGAGGAACUAAAAAGCCUGUUGAUGAAAGUGAAAGAGGAGAGUGAAAAAGUUGGCUUAAAGCUCAGCAUUCAGAAAACAAAGAUCGUGGCAUCUGGUCCCAUCACUUCAUGGGAAAUAGAUGGGGAAACAGUGGAAACAGUGUCAGACUUUAUUUUUUUGGGCUCCAAAAUCACUGCAGAUGGUGACUGCAGCCAUGAAAUUAAAAGACGCUUACUCCUUGGAAGGAAAGUUAUGACCAACCUAGAUAGUAUAUUCAAAAGCAAAGAUAUUACUUUGCCAACAAAGGUCCGUCUAGUCAAAGCUGUGGUUUUUCCAGUAGUCAUGUAUGGAUGUGAGAGUGGGACUGUGAAGAAAGCUGAGCGCCGAAGAAUUGAUGCUUUUGAACUGUGGUGUUGGAGAAGACUCUUGAGAGUCCCUUGGACUGCAAGGAGAUCCAACCAGUCCAUUCUAAAGGAGACCAGUCCUGGGUGUUCAUUGGAAGGACUGAUGCUGAGGCUGAAACUCCAAUACUUUGGCCACCUCAUGCGAAAAGUAGACUCAUUGGAAAAGACUCUGAUGCUGGGAGGGAUUGAGGGCAGGAGGAAAAGGGGACGACAGAGGAUGAGAUGGCUGGAUGAUAUCACUGACUCAAUGCAGGUGAGUCUGGGUGAACUCCAGGAGUUGGUAAUGGACAGGGAGGCCUGGCACGCUGCAGUUCAUGGGGUCGCAAAGAGUCAGACACAACUGAGAGACUGA
rnacentral:lncRNA from 1 species